rnacentral:lncRNA from 1 species
AUAUUUGAAUGAGGGAGAGAGGUUGCUGAAAACCCUCAGGAAGGAGAAAUCUUGGAGUAAGACUUUUGAGUCGGCUGCAUUUUAUACCCUCAAAGGUCAGGUCUGUUUCAACAUGGGCCAGAUGGUGAUUGCCAAGAAAAUGCUGAGGAAGGCCUUGAAGCUCCUCAAUCGAGUCUUUCCUUCCAACUUAAUCUCCUUGUUUCUCCAGACCCAUGUUGAGAAAAACAGAAACUUUCAUUAUGUGAAUCAGAAUCAGCAGGCCCAGGAGAGCUCACCUCCAGGGUAAGGAGGGAGCUGGGGAGAGCUGAGUGUCUCAUCUUCUUCCCCAGAGAGAAACCUACACAUAGGCCAACAGUCAGCCCCCAGAGCCUGGGCCUCUAGGGAGCAUGUGGAGUCCUGGUGGCUCACUGGUGGGAGAGGGAGUGAGGGGGAGUGGGACUCCCAGGCCAGGGCUGGGUUGCCUGAGAACCACUUAAGAGGCACCUUUUGCCAAAGGGAGUUCAGGUGACAAAAACUUAAGGGAGCCCUGUGCCAGGUGAGCUCAGUGCCCCUCCAUACUCAUUUCACCCACUAAUACUUCUGGCCAUAAUGUUCCAAUAGGAACUUGCACCACCUGUUCAUAGAGCCUCAGUCACAAACCCUUUUCCAAUUCAGUGCUAGAACCUUGGGUGGUGUCCACAACCCCAAGAAAAGGGGCAGGUCCUUGAAACAUUUGCCCAAAGACAAAGCGGCCCACCCAUUUUUGUAUCUCUGUAGAUAAGGUGGGUUACAUGGGGUAUCCAUCCAUCAAGCUUAUACCAUUCAGAGUUGUGCAUUUCAAUGUACGCAAAUGUUACCUAUAAAAGAACUAUACACAAUAAUGAAGUGGGGGUAAGGGAAAAAAUAUAUUCUACCUAUUUAGCAAUUGAUACUGAAGGAGAUGCCAGCUAGUUGGGGAUCUGGAGAGCUGAACAGUGGAUAGAUAUUUCAUCCAUCUUGGGAGAGGCCAGUAGCAAUAUUCCUUCAGGUUCUGCCCAAGAUACAAACAUCAGUUUCUGUGAGCAAGUUGCUGCAAUUCUUUUGCAACCCCCACCCAAAAGCUGCCUUCCUCAGUUUCCCAAAAGCAUUCCCUUGACUGUGGGGGUGGCUGAGAUGGAAAUGAAGUAGAGCUGAGCCCCUUUGCAGGGUGGCAACAGGUUCCUGAAUAUAGGAGUUUCUCCUGCAGCCUCAGGUCACACCAGGAGGGGAGGGGCUAGAAGAAGUUCUGCAGAGAUCUGAGAGAUAAGAGAAUUGGAAUGUGGGUCACACAGAGAGUUGCCAGAAGAAAAUAGGCUCUCCAGUUAAAUUUCAAGUUCAGAGCAAUAUGAAUGAUUUUUUUUUUUUUUUUAGUAUACAUUAUUUCACACAAAAUAUUUAGGACAUGUGCCUUCUCAAAGAAUUGUUUUGAACUUCAAAUUUAACUGGGCAUCCCAUAUUUUCAUUCCCUAAAUCUGACAAGCCUAAGGUAAAACCACAUUUUGUAAAAGGAAUAAGUCCCUGAACAGGAAAAGACAAAAAAAUGAUGAUCAGGAAGAAACUCAGAACUAGUUACUUAAAAGACUCUCCAGUCAAAAGGUUCUCAUCUCAAGAAUGGGGACAACAAGAAACAAUAUUAAAUGCCAGAGUUUCUACAGCUUCAUGAACUCCUAUGUUCUAAGGGGUUUUACCUUCUCCACAUUUCCAUAGAGUCUUUAAAAAAUAAUUUCCACAACAGAAUGAAUGUCAUCAAUGUCUAAACCGAAAGUACCCAGAAUUCCUCUUUAAGAAACUCUAGGGCAUCUCUUUUUUCCUUCUCAUAUUUAUUUAAAAUCUGUUUUUUUGAUAGAUAUUUCUAAUUAUAUUUUGUUUUCUUGGUGUUCUUAAAUUACUAAUACUGUAGCUAGUUUAGGAUCCCAUUUUUUUAAAUCACAAACAGUGAGGACCAAGGGUUACAUUGUGGAGGCUGAGACUAAGACCCCAGUUAUUCCUGGUAGGUGGCCAGCCAUCCCCCUUGAAUACUUCCAGCGCAGGAAGUUCACCAUCUUCUGCCACAUUCCAUUCCAUCACCAGAAUGUGUUUUACUCUGUUUGGGGUGCUAUAACAAAAUACCACUGACUGGGAGGCUUAUAAACAGCAGAAGUUUAUUGCUCACACUUCUGGACGCUGGAAGUCAGGUCCAAGUGCCAGUGUGGCUAGGCCAGGGCCCUCUUCAGUGUCACAGCCCUCUCCUCCUGGUGAAAGGGUGCCAGGGAGCUCUGUGGAAUCUCUUCUAUAAGAGCACUAAUCCCAUUCAUGAAGCUUCCACCCUCAUAACCUAAUCAUGGCCUUGUCAACUUAAAAAAAAAAAGCACAACCUGAAAGCUGAGCGUUAAGUUUUAUCUGGGGCAAUAUUAGGACUUAAGUCCAGGAGACAGCAUCUCAUAGCUCUGAGAAACCACUCUGAGGAGGUGAGGUGGGAGCUAGGUUGUACAGGAGUUUUUGCAACAAAGAUCAGGUAGCAGGAACAAAAGAGGCCUGGGCUCACUGAAAUCAUUCCUUUGAUAUGCACCUCUGCUAUCAGGGCCAGUAUCCUGAGUUUUCACAGCUUGCAGGACUCACCAGUUCUCACCAUUUGGAGGUGACUGCAUUCACAGAUGACCGUGACAUUCUUUGUUUUAUCUUCAGCUACAGACCGGGCGGCUAUUUCAGAGCUAUCUGAAGUACCACCCAAAGAGGAAAAGGGGGAAUAUCAGGAUAUGAUAAAGGUGAAGGGGCAGGUACAUGCAGCUGUACACACAUUUUACAAAAGUUUCCUGCUCCUGCUGAUAUCCUCAAAAUUACUUCUAGUCACAAGGAGCAGACAUCACCAUGAAGGAUUUUAGUAUUUUUCUAGAUAUGAGGAGAUGCAAGAAUUGGGCACAUAAAAUCUUCUCCUAAAAAUAUCUAAUUAUCUGAAGAACUGUUCUUCCAGUUUUCCCAGAGCACAGAGGGCCUCACUCCUGAUUUUCAUCCUGAGCUCCACUCUGGAUGCUGUGGAUCCGUAGCUGCAGUGGGUUAUGAUUUAAUCCACGUAGAGGCUGGUGGCAAGAGCCAGACUUCAGUUGACAGCCCAGGAGCCCCAUCUACUUUGACCAUCACUUUGAGGAGUUAGAAUUCAACCUGUGAAUUUUGGGAGGAUGCAUUCAGACCACAGCAGUAUGAAAUUGUUUAAAAUGUUCUUUUCAAGAGUUCCCCUUGUGGCCCAGAGGAAACGAAUUCAACUAGUACCCAUGAGGACAUGGGUUCAAUCCUGGCCUUACUCAGUGGGUCAGAGAUCCAGCAAUGCUGUGAGCUGUGGUGUAGGUCAAAGAUGUGGUGGAUCCCAUGCUGCUGCAGCUGUGGUGUGGGCUAGCAACUGAUUUGACCCCUAGCCUGGGAACUUCUAUAUGCCGCGGGUGUGGCCCUAGAAAGCAGAAAAAAAAAAAAAAAAAAAAAAAA